UGGUAGUGAUGCGACUCCACUUCAUUGGUCCAUGUUUCUGAACUACAUGGUUUUCUUGGAUAUUCCAAUGCU
rnacentral:snoRNA from 1 species